GAUGAACGCUGGCGGCGUGCCUAAUACAUGCAAGUCGAGCGAACAGAUGAGGAGCUUGCUCCUCUGACGUUAGCGGCGGACGGGUGAGUAACACGUGGAUAACCUACCUAUAAGACUGGGAUAACUUCGGGAAACCGGAGCUAAUACCGGAUAAUAUAUUGAACCGCAUGGUUCAAUAGUGAAAGACGGUUUUGCUGUCACUAUAGAUGGAUCCGCGCCGCAUUAGCUAGUUGGUAAGGUAACGGCUUACCAAGGCGACGAUGCGUAGCCGACCUGAGAGGGUGAUCGGCCACACUGGAACUGAGACACGGUCCAGACUCCUACGGGUGGCAGCAGUAGGGAAUCUUCCGCAAUGGGCGAAAGCCUGACGGAGCAACGCCGCGUGAGUGAUGAAGGUCUUCGGAUCGUAAAACUCUGUUAUUAGGGAAGAACAAAUGUGUAAGUAACUAUGCACGUCUUGACGGUACCUAAUCAGAAAGCCACGGCUAACUACGUG
rnacentral:rRNA from 1 species